rnacentral:rRNA from 1 species
UACGGAGGGUGCUAGCGUUGUUCGGAAUUACUGGGCGUAAAGGGCGCGUAGGCGGCCGUUUGCGUCGGAUGUGAAAGCCCGGGGCUCAACCUCGGAACGGCAUUCGAUACGGGACGGCUGGAGACCGGGAGAGGAGAGUGGAAUAGCCAGUGUAGAGGUGAAAUUCGUAGAUAUUGGCUGGAACACCUAUGGCGAAGGCAGCUCUCUGGGACGGUACUGACGCUGAGACGCGAAAGCGUGGGGAGCGAACAGG